GAUGAACGCUGGCGGCGUGCCUAAUACAUGCCAGUCGAGCGAACGGACGAGAAGCUUGCUUCUCUGAUGUUAGCGGCGGACGGGUGAGUAACACGUGGAUAACCUACCUAUAAGACUGGGAUAACUUCGGGAAACCGUAGCUAAUACCGGAUAAUAUUUUGAACCGCAUGGUUCAAAAGUGAAAGACGGUCUUGCUGUCACUUAUAGAUGGAUCCGCGCUGCAUUAGCUAGUUGGUAAGGUAACGGCUUAACAAGGCAACGAUGCAUAGCCGACCUGAGAGGGUAAUCAGCCACACUAGAACUGAGACACGGUACAGACUCCUACGGGAGGCAGCAGUAGGGAAUCUGCCGCAAAGGGCGAAAACCUGACGGAGCAACGCCGCGUGAGUGAUGAAGGUCUUCGGAUCGUAAAACUCUGUUAUUAGGGAAGAACAUAUGUGUAAGUAACUGUGAACAUCUUGACGGUACCGAAUCAGAAAGCCACGACUAACUACGUG
rnacentral:rRNA from 1 species